UAACACAUGCAAGUCGAGGGGCAGCAUGGUCUUAGCUUGCUAAGGCCGAUGGCGACCGGCGCACGGGUGAGUAACACGUAUCCAACCUGCCGUCUACUCUUGGACAGCCUUCUGAAAGGAAGAUUAAUACAAGAUGGCAUCAUGAGUCCGCAUGUUCACAUGAUUAAAGGUAUUCCGGUAGACGAUGGGGAUGCGUUCCAUUAGAUAGUAGGCGGGGUAACGGCCCACCUAGUCUUCGAUGGAUAGGGGUUCUGAGAGGAAGGUCCCCCACAUUGGAACUAAGACACGGUCCAAACUCCUACGGGAGGCAGCAGUGAGGAAUAUUGGUCAAUGGGCGAGAGCCUGAACCAGCCAAGUAGCGUGAAGGAUGACUGCCCUAUGGGUUGUAAACUUCUUUUAUAAAGGAAUAAAGUCGGGUAUGGAUACCCGUUUGCAUGUACUUUAUGAAUAAGGAUCGGCUAACUCCGUGCCAGCAGCCGCGGUAAUACGGAGGAUCCGAGCGUUAUCCGGAUUUAUUGGGUUUAAAGGGAGCGUAGAUGGAUGUUUAAGUCAGUUGUGAAAGUUUGCGGCUCAACCGUAAAAUUGCAGUUGAUACUGGAUAUCUUGAGUGCAGUUGAGGCAGGCGGAAUUCGUGGUGUAGCGGUGAAAUGCUUAGAUAUCACGAAGAACUCCGAUUGCGAAGGCAGCCUGCUAAGCUGCAACUGACAUUGAGGCUCGAAAGUGUGGGUAUCAAACAGGAUUAGAUACCCUGGUAGUCCACACGGUAAACGAUGAAUACUCGCUGUUUGCGAUAUACUGCAAGCGGCCAAGCGAAAGCGUUAAGUAUUCCACCUGGGGAGUACGCCGGCAACGGUGAAACUCAAAGGAAUUGACGGGGGCCCGCACAAGCGGAGGAACAUGUGGUUUAAUUCGAUGAUACGCGAGGAACCUUACCCGGGCUUAAAUUGCAGAUGAAUUACGGUGAAAGCCGUAAGCCGCAAGGCAUCUGUGAAGGUGCUGCAUGGUUGUCGUCAGCUCGUGCCGUGAGGUGUCGGCUUAAGUGCCAUAACGAGCGCAACCCUUGUUGUCAGUUACUAACAGGUUCCGCUGAGGACUCUGACAAGACUGCCAUCGUAAGAUGUGAGGAAGGUGGGGAUGACGUCAAAUCAGCACGGCCCUUACGUCCGGGGCUACACACGUGUUACAAUGGGGGGUACAGAGGGCCGCUACCACGCGAGUGGAUGCCAAUCCCCAAAACCUCUCUCAGUUCGGACUGGAGUCUGCAACCCGACUCCACGAAGCUGGAUUCGCUAGUAAUCGCGCAUCAGCCACGGCGCGGUGAAUACGUUCCCGGGCCUUGUACACACCGCCCGUCAAGCCAUGGGAGCCGGGGGUACCUGAAGUGCGUAACCGCGAGGAGCGCCCUAGGGUAAAACUGGUGACUGGGGCUAAGUC
rnacentral:rRNA from 1 species